rnacentral:rRNA from 1 species
GACGAACGCUGGCGGCGUGCUUAACACAUGCAAGUCGAACGGAAAGGCCCUGCUUUUGUGGCGUGCUCGAUUGGCGAACGGGUGAGUAACACGUGUGUAACCUGCCCUUGACUUUGGGGUAACUUCAGGAAACUGGGGCUAAUACCGGAUAGGAGCUCCUGCUGCAUAGUGGGGGUUGGAAAGUUUCGGCGGUUGGGGAUGGUCUCGCGGCUUAUCAGCUUGUUGGUGGGGUAGUGGCUUACCAAGGGUUUGACGGGUAGGCGGCCUGAGAGGGUGAACAGCCACAAUGGGACUGCGAGACGGCGCAGACUCCUACGGGAGGCAGCAGUGGGGAAUAUUGCACAAUGGGCGGAAGCCUGAUGCAGCAACGCCGCGUGCGGGAUGACGGCCUUCGGGUUGUAAACCGCUUUCGCAUGUGACGAAGCGGGAGUGACGGUAAUGGGUAAAGAAGCAACGGCUAACUACGUG